rnacentral:rRNA from 1 species
GGGUCAGUAGGUUGGUCGUGCCACCGGUACGUACUGGUCUCACUGAUUCCUCCUUCCUGAAGAACCGUAAUGCCAUUAAUUUGGUGUUGCGGGGAAACAGGACUGUUACUUUGAAAAAAUUAGAGUGUUUAAAGCAAGCUAGCGCUUGAAUACAUUAGCAUGGAAUAAUGAAAUAGGACGAUCGAUCCUAUUUUGUUGGUUUCCAGGAUUGACGUA